rnacentral:tRNA from 1 species
GGUGGCUUAGUGGCAAAGUGCUUGCCUUGAAUGCAUGAGGCCCUGGGUUCGAUUCCUCAGCACCA